rnacentral:rRNA from 1 species
ACACGAAGUGAGUGGCGAACGGGUGAGUAACACGUGGGUAACCUGCCCAGAAGUAGGGGAUAACACCUGGAAACAGAUGCUAAUACCGUAUAACAGAGAAAACCGCAUGGUUUUCUUUUAAAAGAUGGCUCUGCUAUCACUUCUGGAUGGACCCGCGGCGUAUUAGCUAGUUGGUGAGGUAAAGGCUCACCAAGGCAGUGAUACGUAGCCGACCUGAGAGGGUAAUCGGCCACAUUGGGACUGAGACACGGCCCAGACUCCUACGGGAGGCAGCAGUAGGGAAUCUUCCACAAUGGACGCAAGUCUGAUGGAGCAACGCCGCGUGAGUGAAGAAGGGUUUCGGCUCGUAAAGCUCUGUUGUUAAAGAAGAACGUGGGUAAGAGUAACUGUUUACCCAGUGACGGUAUUUAACCAGAAAGCCACGGCUAACUACGUGCCAGCAGCCGCGGUAAUACGUAGGUGGCAAGCGUUAUCCGGAUUUAUUGGGCGUAAAGCGAGCGCAGGCGG